rnacentral:lncRNA from 1 species
GAUUAAUGAAAAAAAUAUUGCGGAAUCAAAAGUAGCUCUAGUCUAUGGUCAAAUGAAUGAACCGCCGGGAGCUCGUAUGAGAGUUGGUUUAACUGCCCUAACCAUGGCGGAAUAUUUCCGGGAUGUUAAUGAACAAGACGUGCUUCUAUUCAUCGACAAUAUUUUUCGUUUCGUCCAAGCAGGAUCAGAAGUAUCCGCCUUAUUAGGGAGAAUGCCUUCCGCAGUGGGUUAUCAACCUACCCUUAGUACAGAAAUGGGUUCUUUGCAAGAAAGAAUUACCUCUACCAAAGAGGGAUCUAUAACUUCGAUCCAAGCGGUUUAUGUACCUGCGGACGAUUUGACCGACCCUGCUCCUCUUAGUAGACCCUUUUUGAAUCUCCUUAUGUUUAGGAAAGGAAAGACGAAUAGCUUCAAAGCUUCCUUGGGGUGAUCUCGCCAAACGAAGGCCCGACCAAGUUCGGAUGCCUCGACCAAGCUCGGGAUGCCCCGACCAAGUUCGGGAUACUCCGCGGCCCCAACCUCGAGCUCGAUCUUCCUCAACCUCAAGUCUCGCCAAACGAAGGCCUGACCAAGUUCGGAUGCUCGGCCAAGUUCGGAUGCUCGGCCAAGUUCGGAUGUCCGAUCAAGUUCGGAUGCCUGAUCAAGUUCGGAUGCCUCGACCAAGUUCGGGAUGCCCCAACUAAGUUUGGGAUGCUUCGCUGCGCCAACUUCGAGCUCGGUCUCUCUUGACCCCUGGUCUUGCCUAACAGUGUCUCAACCAAGUUCGAGAUCAAGAAACACGCAAGUUCCCCAACCUCGGUCUACACUGCCAUUAAGUUUGAGCCUAAAGACUUAGUGGGAUUUUUUCGGAGGCUGAGCCCAAAGACUUAGUGAAAUUCGUCAAAAAAUGUCUAAAUCACCUGUGAAAGCGAAUGAUGCGCGAAGUUCAAUUCAAGCAGCCAAAGAUAAGAGUUCAUCGAUUGCGCAAGUGAAAGCGAACUCGAACACACAGUGAAAUUUGAGAAAGCAAGUAUUCCAUUAACGGAAAGUCCAAAGCUGAGUACAAAAUAUGAUUUCGAGGCCGACCCACCUGGCCGUACAAUGGCUACAAUGGCCGACCUCAUUUACAGAAAGAAAGAAGAAAAAACUAAGUCCUAAGGAAUCUCUGGAGCAGCAAUAGCCUCAGCAUCAACCUCGAGGUCAUCCAUGACAAUCACAUCGGGAUUCUCAGCAGGAGCCGCCUUGGGGUCCUCCGCUGAUCCGUCUCCACAAGCAUCCGCAAUGGCCUCGAUUGGGGCUUCGCAAGUGGCCUCGAGAGCAGCUUCAGAAGCUCCAUCGGGAGCACCUUCGGCGGCUUCUCCAGGGGAGCCUCCCGAGCAAUCUACUCGCCCGCCUCAAUCUCGACCCCGACGGCCCCCCGUUCGGCCUCUCGGCUUGCGGGCGCGCUGCCGAUCACGCCAACGUCCUCAGGACUUUCGGGCUCGCUUUCAGCCUCGGUGACCCCCAGGUGAGGCUGAAUACCACUGAGGUCGAACUUGGGGCAAAUCCGCUGCAUCUGCCUCUGAAAGUCUUCGAAGCCGCGGAUGAGCCUGUCCACCGCUUCCUCCUCUACCAGCUUGCGAAACUCGUCUGACUCGCGAAAGAUUUGCACCGCGUUCUAGGCUUGCUCCAACGCCCUUCUUUCUCGAGCUUCGAGUUGCUCGAUUUUCAGCCGAAGGACCCCCGCCUCAUACUUGUGGCCGGCGAUCUCGGAGCGGACAUCAACCAGACGCGCCUCAGAGGCACGAAGCUCCGACCAGGCUAGAGUAUGCAAGGCCUUCUCCUUAUCGAGGCACUCGACCGUGGAUCGAAG